AUGAACGCUGGCGGCGUGCCUUAGGCAUGCAAGUCGAACGAACUCUGGCUUGCCAGAGUGAGUGGCGGAAGGGUGAGUAACGCGUGGGAACGUACCUAUUGGUGGAGAAUAGCUCGCCGAAAGGCGGGGUAAUUCUGCAUGAGACCGCAAGGUGAAAGGGCUUAACCGCCCGCCGAUAGAGCGGCCUGCGUCUUAUCAGCUUGUUGGUGGGGUAAAAGCCUACCAAGGCGAUGACGAGUAGCUGGGCUGAGAGGUCGGCCAGCCACAAUGGAACUGAGACACGGUCCAUACAUCUACGGAUGGCAGCAACCGGGAAUCUUGGACAAUGGGGGAAACCCUGAUCCAGCGACGCCGCGUGGGGGACGAAGGCCUUCGGGUUGUAAACUCCUUUUAUGGUCUGUAAUAGACCAAGAAUAAGCACCUGCCAACUACGU
rnacentral:rRNA from 1 species